GGUGGGGUGGCCGAGUGGCUAAUGGCAGCAGACUGUAAAUCUGCCGGGCUUCGCCCUACGUAGGUUCGAAUCCUACCCCCACCA
rnacentral:tRNA from 3 species